AACAGGAAGCAGCUUGCUGCUUCGCUGACGAGUGGCGGACGGGUGAGUAAUGUCUGGGAAACUGCCUGAUGGAGGGGGAUAACUACUGGAAACGGUGGCUAAUACCGCAUAACGUCGCAAGACCAAAGAGGGGGACCUUCGGGCCUCUUGCCAUCAGAUGUGCCCAGAUGGGAUUAGCUAGUUGGUGAGGUAACGGCUCACCAAGGCGACGAUCCCUAGCUGGUCUGAGAGGAUGACCAGCCACACUGGAACUGAGACACGGUCCAGACUCCUACGGGAGGCAGCAGUGGGGAAUAUUGCACAAUGGGCGCAAGCCUGAUGCAGCCAUGCCGCGUGUAUGAAGAAGGCCUUCGGGUUGUAAAGUACUUUCAGCGGGGAGGAAGGUGUUGUGGUUAAUAACCACAGCAAUUGACGUUACCCGCAGAAGAAGCACCGGCUAACUCCGUGCCAGCAGCCGCGGUAAUACGGAGGGUGCAAGCGUUAAUCGGAAUUACUGGGCGUAAAGCGCACGCAGGCGGUCUGUCAAGUCGGAUGUGAAAUCCCCGGGCUCAACCUGGGAACUGCAUUCGAAACUGGCAGGCUUGAGUCUUGUAGAGGGGGGUAGAAUUCCAGGUGUAGCGGUGAAAUGCGUAGAGAUCUGGAGGAAUACCGGUGGCGAAGGCGGCCCCCUGGACAAAGACUGACGCUCAGGUGCGAAAGCGUGGGGAGCAAACAGGAUUAGAUACCCUGGUAGUCCACGCCGUAAACGAUGUCUACUUGGAGGUUGUGCCCUUGAGGCGUGGCUUCCGGAGCUAACGCGUUAAGUAGACCGCCUGGGGAGUACGGCCGCAAGGUUAAAACUCAAAUGAAUUGACGGGGGCCCGCACAAGCGGUGGAGCAUGUGGUUUAAUUCGAUGCAACGCGAAGAACCUUACCUGGUCUUGACAUCCACAGAACUUUCCAGAGAUGGAUUGGUGCCUUCGGGAACUGUGAGACAGGUGCUGCAUGGCUGUCGUCAGCUCGUGUUGUGAAAUGUUGGGUUAAGUCCCGCAACGAGCGCAAC
rnacentral:rRNA from 1 species